rnacentral:rRNA from 1 species
GAUGAACGCUGGCGGCGUGCCUAAUACAUGCAAGUCGAGCGAAUGGAUUAAGAGCUUGCUCUUAUGAAGUUAGCGGCGGACGGGUGAGUAACACGUGGGUAACCUGCCCAUAAGACUGGGAUAACUCCGGGAGACCAGGGCUAAUACCGGAUAACAUUUUGAACCGCAUGGUUCGAAAUUGAAAGGCGGCUUCGGCUGUCACUUAUGGAUGGACCCGCGUCGCAUUAGCUAGUUGGUGAGGUAACGGCUCACCAAGGCAACGAUGCGUAGCCGACCUGAGAGGGUGAUCGGCCACACUGGGACUGAGACACGGCCCAGACUCCUACGGGAGGCAGCAGUAGGGAAUCUUCCGCAAUGGACGAAAGUCUGACGGAGCAACGCCGCGUGAGUGAUGAAGGCUUUCGGGUCGUAAAACUCUGUUGUUAGGGAAGAACAAGUGCUAGUUGAAUAAGCUGGCACCUUGACGGUACCUAACCAGAAAGCCACGGCUAACUACGUGCCAGCAGCCGCCGUAA